UUUUUUUUUUUUUUUUUUUUUUUUAUUUUUUGUGUGUGUGUGUUUUGUCGUUUGUUAGCUUUUUCCUUGUUGCGUGGAGGAGGGAGACAAUUUCCAAGCUCUUUACAUGCUGGGCCAGAAACCAGAAGUCCAUUUCAUGUAUUUUAUUCAUUUCUUUGCAUUUGUUGUCCUCACCUACCAGAAGGUAAGUUCUAUAAGGGCAGGGAUUUACGCCUGAUUUGUUCACUGUACCCUCAGGGCUUAGAAUAGUGCUUAACAUAGUAGGUGCUCAGAUAGUAUUUCUUUGAAGAAAUUGAAUAAAUGAAAACAAAUCUCCCUGUAGUUUCUAGCACAGAAAUGUCUUAGGUGGGGCCACUGCACAAAGGCCGUCACCUACAUGUCCCUCUGCAUGGAAAGCUUUUCCCAUUCUCCAUUUUCCUCUUUACUCAGUUAACUGAAGUUCUUCAAGGAAACCUUUCCUGACCUUCAGGUUGAGGAUCACUGGUACUCAUAGCCCAGCUAUUCCCCCUCAGACUUAAUAGUAACUUAAAAAUUGUAUAAUCAUCUCUUUGAGUUUGUAUCCAUCACAAGAUUCUAAGUUCUCUAAAGCAAGGAAGUAGGGGUGCCUGUGUUGCUCUGUUGGUUAAGCAACUGCCUUCGGCUCACGUCCUGAUCCUAGAUAGAGUCCUGGGAUCCAGCCCUAUAUCAGGCUCCCUACUACAGGGGCAGUCUGCAUCUCCCUCUCUCCCCUGCUCAUGCUCUCUCUUGCUAUCUCCCUCUCUCUUUCAAAUAAAUAAAUAAAAUAUUUUUUUAAAAAAAUGGAGGAACUAUAUCUCUUCUAUUUAUUUUAGUUCAAUUAAAACCCAACAGACUGAUUGACACAAAUCACAUGUGCAGUCAGUAUUUGUUGAAAGAAUAAAGGCAACAGUAUCUUGUCUUGGCAAGGUUACUGCGUUAGUGCUACUUAACAGAUCAUCACAAAACUUAAUGCCUUAAAAACAGUAAUACUUAUACAUUAUCUAUUACAAUUUCUAUGGGUCAGGGAUUUGGGAGUAGCCUAGCUGUGUGGUCUGGUUGAGUCUUUCAUAAGAUAGCAGUCAAGACAUCAGCCAGGGCUACAGCUAUCUGAGGGCUUGGGUAGGAUAGGGGAAUGUACUUCCAUGGUGGAUCUGUCAUAUGGCUGGCAAGUUCAUGCUGGUUGUUGACAGAGGUCUUGGUCCUUUUCCAUGGGGGCCUCUUUCAAGGCUAUUUGGCUAUUCUUACAACAUGACAACUAACCUCCCCCCACACUGGACAAUCCAAGAGAGGUCAAGUAGAAAUGGUAAUAUUUUUCUAAUGAUCUAGUCGCAGAAGUCCCAAAUGAUGACUUCUGUCACAUUCUGCUUGUUUAAAAGAAGUCCCCAUACAUAUGGCCCACAUUUAAGUUGCAGAGAAUUAGACUCUCCACCUUUUCAAGCAAUUGUGUCAAAGAAUUUGUGGACAAACUUUAAAACCAGAGCAUAACCAAUGAACAAAUUAAUGGAUAAGAGGAUGAGGAAAAAUUUGAUGUAGUGACUCUAAAUAAGUUUUCCUAGUUUUAGAAUAGAGAAGGAGGGUCACCUGGAUGGCUCAGUGGUAUAAUGUCUGCCUUCGGCUCAGGUCGUGAUCCCAUGGUCCUGGAACAGAGUCCUGCAUCAGGCUCCCCACAGGGAGCCUGCUUCUCCCUCUGCCUCUCUCUGUCUCUCAUGAAUAAAUAAAUAAAAUCUUUUAAAAAAAUAGAAUAGAAAAAAAAGGGGUGCCUGGGUGGCUCAGUGGUUGAGCGUCUGCCUUUGGCUCAGGGAGUGAUCCUGGGAUCCUGGGAUCGAGUCCCACAUCCAGCUCCCCACAGGGAGCCUGCUUCUCCCUCUGCCUGUGUCUCUGCCUCUCUGUCUCUCAUGAAUAAAUAAAUAAAAUCUAAAAAAUAAAAAUAAAAAUAGAAUAGAGAAGGAAAAUAACUGCUGUAGUUUAAGAGCAAUGUAAUUAAGAAAUAAUAGAUUAGUAUCUGGAGAGAUUACUUCUUUAAUAUCAAGAGAGAUGCAGAGGUGUAAUGUUUAUAAAUGUUUUUAUUUUUUUUAUUUUUUUUUUAUGAUAGGCACACAGUGAGAGAGAGAGAGAGAGAGAGAGAGAGAGAGAGAGAGGCAGAGACACAGGCAGGCUCCAUGCACCGGGAGCCCGACGUGGGAUUCGAUCCCGGGUCUCCAGGAUCACGCCCUGGGCCAAAGGCAGGCGCUAAACCGCUGCGCCACCCAGGGAUCCCUAUAAAUGUUUUUAUACCUGCAAAUACGUUAGGAAAAAAUACCAAAUCCUUAAAGGUCAAAGGCCAAUAGCCAGCACAGUACUGUAAAAUAUUAUCAAUGGAUAAGGUAGAAAAUAAAAUAGGGGCGGGG
rnacentral:lncRNA from 1 species